ACUUAACGCGCCCCCUUCUGAAACCCUAAUUUCUCUCUCUCUCUCUCUCUCUCUCCUAUAAAUCCGAGAAUCUGAAAUCCCUAAAACUGCAGGGCAGAACCAAAAGCCGUCAAGGAUUUUCCUUGAGCUUCAUUACUGUCAUUGUUGUUUUCUCUAACCAUGUUGGAGAUCAUUUUGGUGCCAAGGAUGAUUAGCAAAAGAACCAUGGAUGGAGCUGCUAUUCAAUGUGAUACAAGCCUGAUGAUUGUAACUAAGAACGGAGAUUUGAAGAUUGCUUUUGUUGAAGUCUGACCACAGUUGGGCUCCAAAAGAAUCUUAUGAAAUAAACCAAUCUAUGUUGUUAUUAAUGAAGGCUUGUAAUCUGUUGCAACA